UACGGAAGGGGCAAGCGUUGUUCGGAAUCAUUGGGCGUAAAGGGCGCGUAGGUGGUUCUGUAUGUCUACCGUGAAAGCGUACGGCUCAACCGUAUUUUGUCGGUAGAAACUGCGGGACUUGAGGCUGGGAGGGGCUGGUGGAAUUCCCGGUGUAGCGGUGAAAUGCGUAGAGCUCGGGAAGAACAUCGGUGGCGAAAGCGCUCUGCUGGACUGCAACUGACACUCAGGGACGAAAGCUAGGGGAGCGAAUGGG
rnacentral:rRNA from 1 species